rnacentral:rRNA from 1 species
GAUGAACGCUGGCGGCGUGCCUAAUACAUGCAAGUCGAGCGAACGGACGAGAAGCUUGCUUCUCUGAUGUUAGCGGCGGACGGGUGAGUAACACGUGGAUAACCUACCUAUAAGACUGGGAUAACUUCGGGAAACCGGAGCUAAUACCGGAUAAUAUUUUGAACCGCAUGGUUCAAAAGUGAAAGACGGUCUUGCUGUCACUUAUAGAUGGAUCCGCGCUGCAUUAGCUAGUUGGUAAGGUAACGGCUUACCAAGGCAACGAUGCAUAGCCGACCUGAGAGGGUGAUCGGCCACACUGGAACUGAGACACGGUCCAGACUCCUACGGGAGGCAGCAGUAGGGAAUCGUCCGCAAUGGGCGAAAGCCUGACGGAGCAACGCCGCGUGAGUGAUGAAGGUCUUCGGAUCGUAAAACUCUGUUAUUAGGGAAGAAAAUAUGUGUAAGUAACUGUGCACAUCUUGACGGUACCUAAUCAGAAAGCCACGACUAACUACGUG